rnacentral:rRNA from 1 species
CUAGUCGCACGGGCUUAGACCCGUGGCAUAUAGCUCAGUAACACGUGGCCAAACUACCCUACAGACCGCAAUAACCUCGGGAAACUGAGGCCAAUAGCGGAUAUAACUCUCAUGCUGGAGUGCCGAGAGUUAGAAACGUUCCGGCGCUGUAGGAUGUGGCUGCGGCCGAUUAGGUAGAUGGUGGGGUAACGGCCCCACCAUGCCGAUAAUCGGUACGGGUUGUGAGAGCAAGAACCCGGAGACGGUAUCUGAGACAAGAUACCGGGCCCUACGGGCGCAGCAGGCGCGAAACCUUUACACUGCACGACAGUGCGAUAGGGGGACUCCGAGUGUGAGGCCAUAUAGCCCUCGCUUUUCUGUACCGUAAGGUGGUACAGGAACAAGGACUGGGCAAGACCGGUGCCAGCCGCCGCGGUAAUACCGGCAGUCCAAGUGAUGGCCGAUAUUAUUGGGCCUAAAGCGUCCGUAGCCGGCCGGACAAGUCCGUUGGGAAAUCGACGCGCUCAACGCGUCGGCGUCCAGCGGAAACUGUCCGGCUUGGGGCCGGAAGACCUGAGGGGUACGUCCGGGGUAGGAGUGAAAUCCUGUAAUCCUGGACGGACCACCAAUGGGGAAACCACCUCAGGAAGACGGACCCGACGGUGAGGGACGAAAGCCAGGGUCUCGAACCGGAUUAGAUACCCGGGUAGUCCUGGCUGUAAACAAUGCUCGCUAGGUAUGUCACGCGCCAUGAGCACGUGAUGUGCCGUAGUGAAGACGAUAAGCGAGCCGCCUGGGAAGUACGUCCGGAAGGAUGAAACUUAAAGGAAUUGGCGGGGGAGCACCACAACCGGAGGAGCCUGCGGUUUAAUUGGACUCAACGCCGGACAUCUCACCGGUCCCGACAGUAGUAAUGACAGUCAGGUUGACGACUUUACUCGACGCUACUGAGAGGAGGUGCAUGGCCGCCCGUCAGCUCGUACCGUGAGGCGUCCUGUUAAGUCAGGCAACGAGCGAGACCCACACUUCUAGUUGCCAGCAA